CAAAUUAGAGCUUGUUAGUAAGCUUUUUAUUUACAUUAAAAUGAUAAUUGUGCAAAUCAAUUUAAUUUGA
rnacentral:tRNA from 1 species